rnacentral:ncRNA from 2 species
UCGAGGUCAGGCGAUGGAGUUCGCCUCAACUGCCACACCGGCUGAUGGCUUCUACGACGUG